GGGGCAAAACCGUUAAAGUGACAAAACCACAGGGAGCAAAACGAAAGUUUACUCGUAUUUUUCACUUACUCCAGCUUGUACAAGGUAAGAUUCGUUUCGUAAACCGAUCAUUUCCGCAAUCUGAUGUGAAUAGUCUUCGAUACUAUCGUCAAUCAUCGAAGACGCAAAACUAAACGAAAUCUGAUCAUCAUCCAACAGCAUCAUCCUGCAUCCACAUCAUAACACAUUCGACAACUUUCGUUCAUAUUGUUUAUUUGUUUUAACGUAAAGAGGAUUCGAAACACACCUUUUUGUCAAACUUCCCGACGAAAGUACCUCCUGUGCGUUGAUUUUAACGUUAUCGAUCCAGAUAACGUCUCUUCCAGUAGGCCAUCUAUGCGGAAUCUUGUAUCCCGAAGGAGCAAGAACUAAGCAAUUCUGUUUCGAUGUGGGCCCGCAAUGGCGGUCUUGUUGUUGACCCUCGGUCAAACCCGAUUCAAGAUUUUCGCUAAUGUUAAAACAUGAAGCACCUAGUGAGAGUUCACCAAUGUCCCAAAAAUCCGAAACCAGUUGUUCUUGAAGGCGUCUGUAAGACCCGCGAAACGUCUGGUUUCUAGACGCGGCUGUGAGUGAUAGUGUCCACCAAAACGAACCCGUAAGCGCAAGAAAUACAAUAACGAAUAAACUGAACUUGAGUAAAAAUAACGUUAGUUUAUAGCGUUUUCGUGAUGAUACAGGGCUGAAUGUAUCAGGAACAAUAAAACCGUUUUCGUGAACACUUUGUUUGGAUGGUGAACUAGUUGUAUAUGUAAACAUAAAAUGAAAUGGGUUCCAUGAGCAUCUAUGAUUAGGGGAUAAUCGGUUUUUAUCGAAAUCUUCCUUUUCGGCCUUGAAUUUCAUCUGGGAAUCUUCUAAGAAGUUAUGAAAGUCGCCGGAUAGUCUCCCGCCACCGGAGAAACCUCUAUGGAGCGGCCGUGACAUUGUUCUACAUUCGAAAAGCACAUAAAAAUGUCACAUAAACACUACAUUUUCACAAACUCUCUAAAUUUAAAAAAAAAAAAAAAAACAUGGGAAAGAUUCCAUUAAAAGCAGAAAGAAAACAGCAAAAAAAUAGAUGAAUUUUUUUUUUUCUGUAUAUAUUUCAUUCCAAUCACCAGGGCAAAUUACAUAAGAAUAGCAGGUAGACGAGCAACAAAUUAUAAACAUAAACUCUAACCUUAAUUAGAUGCAACAAAUUAAAGCAAAUUCAAUUUAAAAAAAAAAAUUGAAUUGGAUGAUAUAAAAAAAAAUUGAAAAUUUUACCUUGAUUAGAUGCAUCAAAUUCAAACAAUAUUAAAAAAAAAAAUUGAAUUGGAUGGUAAAAAAACUAGAAUUUGCCACCUUGAUUAGAUGCAACAAAUUUCAAAAAGAAAAGCUGAAUUGGAUGAUUAAAAAAACUAGAAGUAGAAACUCUUAUCUUGAUUAGAUGCAGCAAAUUCAAAAAAAAAAAAAAAAAAAAAAAAAA
rnacentral:lncRNA from 1 species